rnacentral:rRNA from 1 species
GACGAACGCUGGCGGCGUGCCUAACACAUGCAAGUCGAGCGAUGAAAUUAGAAACGGAGUCUUCGGACGAAGUGGAAAAUGGAUUAGCGGCGGACGGGUGAGUAACACGUGAGCAACCUGCCUAUCACAUCGGGAUAGCCUCGGGAAACUGGGAUUAAUACCGAAUGAAACAUAAUCACUGCCUAGUGGAAAUGUCAAAGAUUUAUCGGUGAUAGAUGGGCUCGCGUAUGAUUAGCUAGUUGGUGAGGUAAUGGAUCACCAAGGCGACGAUCAGUAGCCGGCCUGAGAGGGUGAACGGCCACAUUGUGACUGAGACACGCCUCAAACUCCUACGGGAGGCAGCAGUGGGGAAUAUUUCACAAUGGAGGGAACUCUGAUGCAGCGACGCCGCGUGAGCGAUGAAGGCUUUCGAGUCGUAAAGCUCUGUCGAAUGGGAAGAUAAUGACGGUACCAUUUGAGAAAGCCCCGGCUAACUACGUGCCAGCAGCCGCAGUAA